CCAGAAAAAAGAGAUUCUAACUCUUACCUCUAACUCCCAAAGCCAGA
rnacentral:tRNA from 1 species